rnacentral:rRNA from 1 species
AUUGAACGCUGGCGGAAUGCCUUACACAUGCAAGUCGAGCGGGGUGAUGGUGCUUGCACUAUCACUUAGCGGCGGACGGGUGAGUAAUGCUUAGGAAUCUGCCUAUUAGUGGGGGACAACAUCUCGAAAGGGAUGCUAAUACCGCAUACGUCCUACGGGAGAAAGCAGGGGAUCACUUGUGACCUUGCGCUAAUAGAUGAGCCUAAGUCGGAUUAGCUAGUUGGUGGGGUAAAGGCCUACCAAGGCGACGAUCUGUAGCGGGUCUGAGAGGAUGAUCAGCCACACUGGGACUGAGACACGGCCCAGACUCCUACGGGAGGCAGCAGUGGGGAAUAUUGGACAAUGGGGGGAACCCUGAUCCAGCCAUGCCGCGUGUGUGAAGAAGGCCUUAUGGUUGUAAAGCACUUUAAGCGAGGAGGAGGCUCUUUUGGUUAAUACCCAAGAUGAGUGGACGUUACUCGCAGAAUAAGCACCGGCUAACUCUGUGCCAGCCGCCGCGGUAA